rfam:Gossypium arboreum cultivar AKA8401 contig_4786_3, whole genome shotgun sequence.
AAUAGGUUUAUGCCACAUCAGUAUUCUUAUCCUGAAUUUCAGGAUUUUAUCCUGAAAAAAAUUAAAUCCAAAUUAAAAUACUAAAAUUCAGGAUAAAAUCCUGAAAUUCAGGAUAAGAAUACUGAUGUGGCAUAAAACUAUU